AUGGCUGUCGUCAGCUCGUGUCGUGAGAUGUUGGGUUAAGUCCCGCAACGAGCGCAACCCUCGCCCUUAGUUGCCAUCAUUAAGUUGGGCACUCUAGGGGGACUGCCGGUGAUAAGCCGGAGGAAGGUGGGGAUGACGUCAAGUCCUCGUGGCCCUUACAGGCUGGGCUACACACGUGCUACAAUGGCGGUGACAACGGGAUGCAAAGGGGCGACCCCUCGCAAAUCUCGAAAAGCCGUCUCAGUUCGGAUUGCACUCUGCAACUCGAGUGCAUGAAGUUGGAAUCGCUAGUAAUCGCGGAUCAGCACGCCGCGGUGAAUACGUUCCCGGGCCUUGUACACACCGCCCGUCACACCAUGGGAGUUGGUUUUACCCGAAGGCGUUUCGCUAACCGCAAGGAGGCAGGCGACCACGGUAGGGUCAGCGACUGGGGUGAAGUCGUAACAAGGUAGCCGUAGGGGAACCUGCGGCUGGAUCACCUCCUUUCUAAGGAUAUUCCUCUACGAGACGCUCUCGGGCCUCUCUACUGGAAUUCUUGGAAUCAAACGGCCAGUCAGGCCGUCUUUGCGGGACGCCGCCGUCUUCGUUUCUCUUUCUUCCCAUAAAGGACGAGCCAAAGUCGUCGCUUGCGACGUAGGCGAGCGUUGGAGCUCGGGCUUGUAGCUCAGUUGGUUAGAGCGCGCGCUUGAUAAGCGUGAGGUCGGAGGUUCAAGUCCUCCCAGGCCCACCAUUUGGCAAGCGCUGUCUCGGGGCCAUAGCUCAGUUGGGAGAGCGCGUGCUUUGCAAGCAUGAGGUCGUCGGUUCGAUCCCGUCUGGCUCCACCAGACGGCGUGAUCGCCGCGGCCUGAGCCGUCCUUUAGCAAAAGAGUUUCGCAAGGCGCUUAAGUGCGCGUUGCGUUGUAGAAAUAUCUGACAUCGUAAAGAGGAAACACAUUCGGUCAAAGGAUCGUGGGGCACCUAGCCUCGUGAUCCCGCGAGCAUCUCAGUCGUGGGCUUCGCUUGACCGCAAAGCUCCCGGAUGUGUUUGAAGCAAAACUGGUCUUUAUAAUAUCUAUCAACGCCUUCACGAUUUCCUGCACAGCGGAGGAUGCGUAAGCAUUCGCCGUGGAAUGAAUGGUCGCUGCCGAGCGAUGGGCGUUGGUAAUGAGAGCAAUCAAGUGUCUUAAGGGUAUCUGGUGGAUGCCUUGGCGCUGAGAGGCGAUGAAGGACGUGGUACGCUGCGAUAAGUCAUGGGGAGCUGCGAACAAGCUUUGAUCCGUGAAUUUCCGAAUGGGGAAACCCGG
rnacentral:sRNA from 2 species